rnacentral:tRNA from 1 species
GAAAUAUAAAGAAAUAAUAUUAAGCUGCUAACUUAAUUUAUAGUGGUUAAAAUCCAUUAAUAUUUCU